rnacentral:rRNA from 1 species
UAAAGUGGCGAACGGCUGAGUAACACGUGGGCAACCUGCCCUUUGCACUGGGAUAGCCUCGGGAAACCGAGGUUAAUACCGGAUACUCCAUAUUUGUCGCAUGGCGAAUAUGGGAAAGCUCCGGCGGCAAAGGAUGGGCCCGCGGCCUGUUAGCUAGUUGGUGGGGUAGUGGCCUACCAAGGCAAUGAUGGGUAGCCGGGUUGAGAGACCGACCGGCCAGAUUGGGACUGAGACACGGCCCAGACUCCUCGGGAGGCAGCAGAC